rnacentral:lncRNA from 1 species
GUUUUAGCAAGCAGAUAUUAAUUAACCAAUUGACUCGUGUAUAAAUAAAAGUUAAGUUCUUCCAUGCUGUAAUGAAACCUUUGGCCUUUACCUUACGGAACCUAGCCAGUGACUAUCCAAGUUGGUGAGUUCUGUAGUAUUUCAGUAAUAGAAAGCAACAUGUUUCCAAUUUGUUAGAACAGUUAUAAAUAAUACCCCUGAAACAUUGAAUUAUAUCUAGCUUAGAAUGCAAAUAACACAACUAGUUUUGUUCUCCCUUAGGGAUGUGCAUACUGAAGAAAACCCACUGGUUUCAUAGGUAGACCUAAAUUUUCAAAAACAAAGGAAUACUACCAAAAUGAAACAUGGAAUUAUAUCUAGCUUAGAAAGCAAAUAAUACAACUAGUUUUGUUUUCCCUCGGGGUUUGCAUACUGAAGAAAACCCACUGGUUUCAUAGGUAGACCUAAAUUUUCAUAAACAAAGGAAUGCCACCAAAAUGAAUCCUCCCUUACAGCAGGAGAGUGUGCUGGACUCCCUAGUACAGGUUUCAUUUCAAUCCAAAUUCACUACCAGAUUAUUAGUAAAUGUGAAAUAAAUCUCCCUGGGAACUAGCUUUCCUAUCCAAUCAGGUAUUUUGCCAAGGAACAUUUUCUUGUAAUUUAGAAGUAUACAGUGGAGAAUAUCUUGUAUGUUAUUUAAAUACGUUUUUAUUUAAUGAGAGCAAUAUUUAAUUUUCAUCAAUUAGCAGUUAUAUUAGAAUAGCUUCAUAACAGUUUAACUUUUAAAUUAGGUGCUAACUAAAGAUUAAUUUUAUGGGCAAUGGAAAAAGAAACAUGUUUUUGUCUAGCAGAGUGAUUUAUUGUUGACUGUCUAAAUAGAAAUAUUUUAUAAAUGGCUUAAUGGAAAGAUGAUGAUAGAUGUUGAAAUUAGUAUAAAGCUUAACAGAAAAAUCAGGUGACCCGAUACCUGCAUCUAUACCCUUCACUGGCCUCCUAGCAUUCAUUAGUGAAGCAGAUGAUAGAAUAGAUCAAGUUUCCUACAAAUACAGUUUAUAUUAAAAUAGAGAAAAAAGGAGGGGGAACACCCAGAAGAUCUAGUUUAUGGUUUAGAAUAUAUUUGGAUAUAACCCAGUUUUAAGUAUUUUUUUUCACUUAUCUCUCUUAAAGUUUGCUAACAGCAAGGACAGAGAUAAAAAUAGCAUCUGUGUGAAUAACAGCUCAGUACAGGCCCCACAGCCUUGCACAAACCCUUUGCGUAACACAUUCUCAAAACAUUUGUCUAAUGAGCACCAAGUGGAAGAGUGAGCGAGGCUUCUUGCCCUGGCUGAACAUGGGAUAUUGAAGAUAAUCAGACUGAACACCUUGCAUGUAAAAGAAAGGCAGCUGGUUUGAGGAAAAGGUAAAAAACACCACAUAAUGAGACGAGAAGCUGUUUAGCCUCUUUUUCCGAAGGAAGAAUUUGAUGUGAAUUGAUUCAUAAUUAGAAAAGCAAUCAUAUCUCUUCUCUUCAUUUUCUGAUUUCACCUUCAGUGAGAAUUUAUUUAUUUUUCUUUUUUUGGUUAUCUUUGGUUUAAAUUUCUGUUUUUAUUCUCUGAUUCUUCCUACCUAUAUAUUUUUAAAACAAAACAAAACAAAACAAAACAAAAAGAGGAACAAAAAAACUAUGGCAUUGCUUUUUCACAACAUAUUUUUUUUCUACUCUAAGUCUCACAUGUAAAUCCUACCUCCAUCUCUCACUCUCUCUGGAACAAUAGUCCUUUAAAACUCUAGAUAGCGAAUAAGGAUAUAUUAAACAUGAUCUUAGUCACUAUUUUAUUUUUAUUUUACUGGACAAUUUCAUUUUAUGGUUUGAAAGUUUUUUUCCUUUUAUUGAAAAGAGAUGCUUAUUCUCACACAUUAUAUUCUGAUUAAGCUUUCCCCCUCCUCUCAGUUCCUCCUCUUCUUCCUCCAUCCAGUUCCACACCCUGUCUCUCAUUGGAAAACAAACAGGCUUCUAUGAGAUAAUAAUAAAAAUAACAAAAUAAAAUAUAAUAAAGUAAAACAAAAAUUAUCACAUCGGAGUUGGACAGGGAAAACAAACAGAAGGAACAGAGCCCAACAGAAGGCACACAAAUCAGGGAUCUACGUAUUUGCACAUUUGGGAAUCCCAUAAAACACUAAAUUGGAAAUAUGUAUAUGUGGAGAUCCUGGUACAAAAUUGUGCAGGCCCACUGCAUGUGGCCUCAGUCUCUGGAAUCACUAGUGUCAUAAGUAAAAUAAUUUUAAUAAAUAGCUGUCUGGGGAAAUUCAUUCUCACAUCAGCCAGGUGAUGUAUCCAUAUGAGACAAUGAUUACGACUACUUUCUCUGAAUAGAUAGUUACAAGAGAAUUUUCUUAAAUAACUUUGACUGAUGAGUUACUUCAUCAAAUAUACAAAGCAAAUGACAGAUUCAUUUCUGCUAGAGAAGUGUCCUGUUACAAAUUUAUUAUAACAUUUGGGAAAGUGCCAAAAAAUGAAGUAAAAUAUAUUUUAGGCAAUAAUACAAACACAAGAUAUAUACACAAAAUUCUAAAUGAUGUGCUAUGGUAAAAAAAAGAAAAAUGGCUUAUCUUUUAAAAAUUGAUUCUUCUUACACCUCUCAAAAUUAUCAUCCUAGCUUCUGUCAGUCACACGACCUAAGGUGAAAGACUCUUUCACCUUUUGUCUUGCGCUAGGAUACUUCUGUGUCACAGAGUUAUAUUAGAUUUUCAGAUAUUUUAGGUGUAUAUAUUAGGUUGAUCUCAAUACACCCCGUGACCACAUGACCUAAUGCUUUAUUUCUAUGUCUUCUAUUUAAAAUGCUGAUGAAGCAAGGGUAUAAAAAACUUUAUUGAGAUAUACUUUACAGUUGCUUAAUUCUUACAAUGCUAGUGUGGUUCCUUGCACAUGUUUAGUAAUAUUGUAGAAUUGACUAUUUAAUUUUGAUCACUGAUUUAUUUGUUGAAAAAGUCAGAAAGUUCCUUAGUGCUCUGACAAUAGCUUUCCCUUGCAAAAUGUUGCUUGGACUAUGAUUUCAGUAUUCCUUCUGUGGUUUAGCAUCUCUAUUUUUAAAAAAAGAUUUUCUUCUUAUUUUCCUUUUUGAUUAAUAUAUCAUAACUUUAAGUGUAGCAUGCGAUAUUUUGAUCCACACAUAUGACCAGUUCAGGAUAGUUAGCAUAUCCAUUUCCUAAAUAGAAUGUCACAGGAAAGAAAACACAUUUGAAACAUCUUUACUGAGAGAUCUUUUAUCUUUGGAUUCAUGUAGAAUUCUGAGGCUAAUAAAAGUAAAAACAACUUUUAGCAAAAACCCAAUUAACUACUUAAUAUAUGAUUGGGUUCAAAAGUUUUACCUGUAUUGCCUAUUUCGGAAUGCUCCUCCCUGAUGUUUUUGUAGCAGAGAAAUAUAGCAUCCAAUAUUGC